rnacentral:rRNA from 1 species
UACGUAGGGGGCAAGCGUUGUCCGGAAUCAUUGGGCGUAAAGCGCGUGUAGGCGGCUGAGUAAGUCUGCUCUGAAAGCCCGGAGCUCAACUCCGGGUCUGCAGUCGAUACGGGCAGACUUGAGUGUUGCAGGGGAGACUGGAAUUCCUGGUGUAGCGGUGAAAUGCGCAGAUAUCAGGAGGAACACCGAUGGCGAAGGCAAUCCCCUGGGCCUGCACUGACGCUCAUGCACGAAAGCGUGGGGAGCAAACAGG